rnacentral:rRNA from 1 species
UACGUAGGGGGCAAGCGUUGUCCGGAUUUAUUGGGCGUAAAGAGCUCGUAGGCGGUUCGGUAAGUCGGCUGUGAAAUCUCCACGCUCAACGUGGAGGGGUCAGUCGAAACUGCCGUGACUCGAGUCCGGUAGAGGAGUGUGGAAUUCCCGGUGUAGCGGUGAAAUGCGCAGAUAUCGGGAGGAACACCAGUAGCGAAGGCGGCUCGCUGGGCCAUUCCUGACGCUGAGACGCGAAAAGCUAGGGGAGCGAACAGG